UAGCAGACGACAACACAGCAAGGCCAACAUGAAAAAAAAAAUACACUUCCUAUUUAUUAACAUGUCUAUGAUUUAGAUAGGUAUUACAGUAGGUAUCUACCUAGGUAUUAGGUAACCUUACCUUCGAUUAUUCCAUAUACAUUAUACCAUAGUACACUACAUUAUACUAGAGCACUAUAGAUAUAGACUUUCAUAGUGCCUUAAUUAUACUAUAUACUUAUAGUGAUUCUCAAUCUUCCUAGGACCGCGACCAAAAUUUUCCUCCGAAAAUUUAUCGCGGUUAUCAUAAUAAAAUGGUUUCACUUUUCAAAAAGUAGUUUAUGAAAAAAGGUGGGAAAAUCAUAAAAAAAUUACCUCCUGAAAGUACCACCCCAGGCAGAUUUCCUUUCAGAAAAAGUGCUCCACCAAAAAAUGGACUCUGAAUUGGCACUCACUUAUACCUAGUAUAAAGGUGCCUUCUCAGCUUACCGUGAAACGAGAAAUAUUCUAAGACUAAUUGGUUGAACCAAGUAGUUAUUAUGUAGUAGUUAACCAUUGGUCAAUCAUCAUUUUUGAUACCUUCCCUAUACCGCUUAUACCGGAAAGUCUAAUUCUAUCCUAGUCGAACCAUGUGUUCACCACGGUUAAUGGUAAUGGUUCAACUAUUUUGAAUUGAAAUCAAUCAUAUGAUGAACAGAUUUUAAAUUAUCACGUUUUACUGUGAGCUGUGUAGGCACCUUAAGGUCUAUGAAUAAUUCAGCCAAAGAUAAUAAAGUUAUGGAUCCCUAAACCUUGUACUAAGGUGUAUUGAGCGUUCUGUGUCUGAAGAGAACUAUAUUAAUUUGUGUUACCACAGCGGUUAAACAGUGGUUACUAGGUAACUGAUAAUGAUAAAUGAUAAUAUUUUGUAAUCGUCAAUAAUAAAGUGUUGUUGAUAGUCCAUAGACUAAUAUUGUAUACAAACAAAUUGUAUUAUCUUUUUUUUAAAUAAUG